GAUGAACGCUGGCGGCGCGCCUAACACAUGCAAGUCGAACGAAUAAAGCACCUUCGGGUGUGUAUCAAGUGGCGAACGGCUGAGUAACACGUGUGCAUCCUGCCCCUCUCAUUGUGGUAGCAACUGGAAACCGUGGAGCAUACCGAAUACUUCGGGACUUCCUCCUGGAAGACGCGAGAAAGCUCCGGCGGGGGGGGAUGGGCCCGCGGGCUGUUAGCUUGUUGGGGGGGUAAUGGCCUACCAAGGCUAUGAUGGGUAGCCGGGCUGAGAGGGGGACCGGCCACAUUGGGACUGAGAUAAGGCCCAGACUCCUACGGGAGGCAGCAGUGGGGAAUAUUGCACAAUGGGCGGAAGCCUGAUGCAGCAACGCCGCGGGCGGGAUGACGGCCUUCGGGUUGUAAACCGCUUUCGCCUGGGACGAAGCGGGAGUGACGGUAAUGGGUAAAGAAGCACCGGCUAACUACGUG
rnacentral:rRNA from 1 species